UUUUGCAGUCCGCAAGACAAUUUUUACAAUCUUUAUUUGUCUAAACCAUAAGUUGUGUUUUUUUACAGAAGUUUAUGUUGGUUAAAACAAAUUUACUUGAUUUCUGCUUAGCUUACAUCAAACGUUUAACACUUUUUUUUUAGGUUUUUCACUUUGUGCUGAUACAAGAGCAGGUUUUAAAAGUUAGUUUUUUUUUCUUCUCUUUUAUCGAUUUCGGGUUUCGAAGACAAAUAAAUACUACUAAAAAAAGAGGGAAAAGGUAAAAAAUAUGCUUUUGAUUAUGGUGUUUGUUGUGUAAAAGAAUAUUUAUCAUAAAUGUGAAUAAAUCUAACUCAGAAUCAUAAACGAUCACAUGUUUGAGAUUGUGGCGAACAUUGUUGUGUUCCGGUGUGUUUCUCUAAUUCAGUUUUAGCAAUUUUGUUUGCUUUCUUUUGCAGAUCUCUCUAACAUAAGUUAAAAGGAAUAUAAAGUAGAAUGGUUUGGAAAAA